rnacentral:lncRNA from 1 species
UGACAUCUUGUGACUCUGGCUCUCCCUGAGAGGCACAGUGGGAAGUCCUGCUCUGUGAGUCCAUGGAGUAGGACACACCCAGGCCUCUUCUUUUCGAGCCAGCCAUCAGUCUCCUGAUGGUGGAGAUUUGAUCUGAAGCAUUCAAAUAGGGAACGAGCGCUCAGAGGAAGCUUCAAAUUUCUUUCUACUUGAAGAAGCUGAAUUGCAGACGCUAUCUCUGUCCUGUUAAUCACCGGGUCCACAGUGAAACCAGCCAACUUCAGAGAAGACUCUGGUGCUGUGUGACCCCUGACUGUAACCAAGUGUCAUUCUCUCCGCGACGUUCCCUCAGAGCUUGUGCUGACAGACAGCCCUCACCUCCACGUCCACUAACUUUUCCACACGAGGGGUUCUCUGCUCCAUCUGAGCUGCACAAUUCCACCAGGCCUUU